CGAUGAAGGACGUGCUAAUCUGCGAUAAGCGUCGGUAAGGUGAUAUGAACCGUUAUAACCGGCGAUUUCCGAAUGGGGAAACCCAGUGUGUUUCGACACACUAUCAUUAACUGAAUCCAUAGGUUAAUGAGGCGAACCGGGGGAACUGAAACAUCUAAGUACCCCGAGGAAAAGAAAUCAACCGAGAUUCCCCCAGUAGCGGCGAGCGAACGGGGAGGAGCCCAGAGCCUGAAUCAGUGUGUGUGUUAGUGGAAGCGUCUGGAAAGGCGCGCGAUACAGGGUGACAGCCCCGUACACAAAAAUGCACAUACUGUGAGCUCGAUGAGUAGGGCGGGACACGUGGUAUCCUGUCUGAAUAUGGGGGGACCAUCCUCCAAGGCUAAAUACUCCUGACUGACCGAUAGUGAACCAGUACCGUGAGGGAAAGGCGAAAAGAACCCCGGCGAGGGGAGUGAAAAAGAACCUGAAACCGUGUACG
rnacentral:rRNA from 1 species